AACGGAGAAGAAAACGGCGACGAACGCU
rnacentral:sRNA from 1 species